UUAUAAAUGAAAUGGGGAAAGGAUGAUUGAGUUAAGCGGUAAUACGAGGAAAGUAAUAUGUUAGUAAAGGUAGUUAUUUUGUUUCUCAUCAUGAUGGGAUUUUCAGCAACUAUUGAAGCUGGUCGCCAUCACCAGCAGAAGCUUGAUCCAGACAUGAUCACAACACAAAUGUUCAACAAUGGCGCUACAAGUUAUUACUCUUCAUCACAAAAAGAGACGACUCUUAUUUGCAUGUGUUCAGGUAUUGAUGUUUCAUGCAAUCAAUCUUGCAAAAAUUGUAGUUGCCAAGAUUAUGAUGAGGAUGAUCUGAAGUUGUGCAAGUGUGAUGAUGUUCGUAAAGAUUCUUGCCCCGAUUCUUGCACAAAUAAUUGUUCUUGUUAUCCCUAUAAUAUUAACUAGGAAAAUGAUGAUAAUGUUACUUCUACUUUCGCUUUUUACAUACAUGAUGUUUUAACAUUGUAUUUUUAUAUAAAUUUAAAUAAACUAUUAAAAUAGUAUUUAAAGAUAGAAAUAUGAGAUAAAGAAGUUUUUUUUGUUAACUAAAUCUAACUAAGUUAAAUUUGUAUAUGUGCAUUUAUAUUCUGAUUCUUGUUCUGGUUCUCAUUCUUCUUCUUCCUCCUCAUUGAUGGCGGGAUUUCACAAUUCACAAAACACCAACAAGUACAUUGGGUCGAUCCUACGAGGAACAAAGGAUUAAGCAAUCAAAUUCAAUCAAUAAAUCUAGUCAGGCUAGCAAAUUAGGGUUUUGAAUGGAUUUAAACAUAAACAGCAAGUAUCGGAACAAAAACAGAAGCAAACAGUGAGUUAAGAAGUGAUGUAUAAUUGAGAAAAUUAAGGUUUCAGAGAUGUUAGUCAGCAGAAUUAAGCUUUUCACUUUCUAUUCCAAUCAUGCAAUGAUUCUUUCAUGAAAAAUCUUUAGUAAUUAAACCACAAUCCCUUGAUGAUUUAAUUUCUCUUUAACCCAAUUAAAUGCUAAUUCCUUAGUCAUUUAAU
rnacentral:lncRNA from 1 species